rnacentral:rRNA from 1 species
GACGAACGCUGGCGGCAGGCCUAACACAUGCAAGUCGAACGGUAACAGGAAGAAGCUUGCUUCUUUGCUGACGAGUGGCGGACGGGUGAGUAAUGUCUGGGAAACUGCCUGGUGGAGGGGGAUAACUACUGGAAACGGUAGCUAAUACCGCAUAACGUCGCAAGACCAAAGAGGGGGACCUUCGGGCCUCUUGCCAUCGGAUGUGCCCAGAUGGGAUUAGCUAGUAGGUGGGGUAACGGCUCACCUAGGCGACGAUCCCUAGCUGGUCUGAGAGGAUGACCAGCCACACUGGAACUGAGACACGGUCCAGACUCCUACGGGAGGCAGCAGUGGGGAAUAUUGCACAAUGGGCGCAAGCCUGAUGCAGCCACGCCGCGUGUAUGAAGAAGGCCUUCGGGUUGUAAAGUACUUUCAGCGGGGAGGAAGGGAGUAAAGUUAAUACCUUUGCUCAUUGACGUUACCCGCAGAAGAAGCACCGGCUAACUCCGUGCCAGCAGCCGCGGUAAUACGGAGGGUGCAAGCGUUAAUCGGAAUUACUGGGCGUAAAGCGCACGCAGGCGGUUUGUUAAGUCAGAUGUGAAAUCCCCGGGCUCAACCUGGGAACUGCAUCUGAUACUGGCAAGCUUGAGUCUCGUAGAGGGGGGUAGAAUUCCAGGUGUAGCGGUGAAAUGCGUAGAGAUCUGGAGGAAUACCGGUGGCGAAGGCGGCCCCCUGGACGAAGACUGACGCUCAGGUGCGAAAGCGUGGGGAGCAAACAGGAUUAGAUACCCUGGUAGUCCACGCCGUAAACGAUGUCGACUUGGAGGUUGUGCCCUUGAGGCGUGGCUUCCGGAGCUAACGCGUUAAGUCGACCGCCUGGGGAGUACGGCCGCAAGGUUAAAACUCAAAUGAAUUGACGGGGGCCCGCACAAGCGGCGGAGCAUGCGGAUUAAUUCGAUGCAACGCGAAGAACCUUACCAAGGCUUGACAUGCACGGCGGCACUGCAGAGAUGUGGUGGCAUUUAGUUGGUCGUGUGCAGGUGGUGCAUGGUUGUCGUCAGCUCGUGUCGUGAGAUGUUGGGUUAAGUCCCGCAACGAGCGCAACCCUUGCCCUAUGUUGCCAGCACGUGAUGGUGGGGACUCGUGGGGGACUGCCGGGGUUAACUCGGAGGAAGGUGGGGAAGACGUCAAAUCAUCAUGCCCCUUAUGUCUUGGGCUUCACGCAUGCUACAAUGGCUGGUACAGAGGGUUGCGAUACUGUGAGGUGGAGCGAAUCCCUUAAAGCCAGUCUCAGUUCGGAUUGGGGUCUGCAACUCGACCUCAUGAAGUCGGAGUCGCUAGUAAUCGCAGAUCAGCAACGCUGCGGUGAAUACGUUCCCGGGGCU